rnacentral:snRNA from 1 species
AGCUUUGUGCAGUGACAGUAUCAUAGCCAAUGAAGCUUAUCCAAGAUACAAUUAUUGCUAAUUAAAAAGCUUUGAGGAUUCUCUUCAGACUGAAAGGCAGUAUCACCUUUGUUGGCCUGGUAACUGUGCU